CCCGACUGCUAUUUGGGUGAGGAUAAGCCAUGCGAGUUGAAUGGGAUACCUAAAGUUCCCAUGGCAAACUGCUCAGUAACACAUGAUCAACUUACCCUAUAGAGAAAAAUAACCUCGGGAAACCGAGGAUAAUAUUUCAUAGUUGAAUUGGCUUGGAAAAGUUUUUCGACGAAAGGGGUAAAAAAAUGGUUUUUAUCUGCUAUGGGAUAGGAUCGUGUUCGAUUAUGGUUGUUGGUGAGGUAAUGGCUCACCAAGCCGAUAAUCGAUGGGGGCCGUGGGAGCGGGAGCCCCGAGAUGGGUACUGAGACAACGACCCAGGCUUUACGAGGCGCAGCAGGCGCGAAACCUCCGCAGUACACGAAAGUGUGACGGGGUUACCCAAAGUGUUCAAUUUUGAACUGUGGUAGGUGAGUAAUGUUCCCUACUAGAAAGGAGAGGGCAAGGCUGUGCCAGCCGCCGCGGUAAAACCAGCUCUUCAAGUGGUCGGGAUAAUAUUGGGCUUAAAGUGUCCGUAGCCGGUUUAGUAAGUUCCUGGUAAAAUCGGGUAGCUUAACUAUCUAUAUGCUAGGAAUACUACUAUACUAGAGGGCGGGAGAGGUCUGAGGUACUACAGGGGUAGGGGUGAAAUCUUAUAACCCUUGUUGGACCACCAGUGGCGAAGGCGUCAGACUGGAACGCGCCUGACGGUGAGGGACGAAAGCCAGGGGAGCGAACCGGAUUAGUUACCCGGGUAGUCCUGGCCGUAAACGAUGCAUACUAGGUGAUGGCACGGCCAUGAGCCGUGUCAGUGCCGUAGGGAAACCGUUAAGUGUGCCGCCUGGGAAGUACGGUCGCGAGGCUAAAACUUAAAGGAAUUGGCGGGGGAGCACCACAAGGGGUGAAGCCUGCGGUUCA
rnacentral:rRNA from 1 species